AUUCACACGUAACCAACAUGGUUUCUAAAGGAAAAAAAAAACAACCUAGAAAACCAUGCUAGACAAAACUGAUGUUGAAAAGAUCUGAGUGGGCAAGUCCAGUUAUUGACAAGUUAUUUGAAUUUCCCGAAAUUCAAAUUUCAGGAAAGCAUCGAAGAAAGAAAUUUUUUUGUUGUUUUAACUGCCCAAAUGGAAUUUUAAGUGAAGGUCUGUAAACUGCAGUUCUGUGGAUAUAAUCACCAACAAGGAGAGGCCUAGCGUUCCUGUUUCAUUGCUUUAAAUUUAUUAUGAAAAACUAAUAAAUGUAUUUCAGGUUCAGGAACAAAAUGGGUCAGUAACACCCAAAAUAAAAAGGUGCUUCUCUGCUUAUAGCAGUGGUUCUAAACUAGGGGCAAUCUUGCCUCCUAGGUGGUGUUCUUCCAUGUCUGUGACCAUUUUGGUUGUCACAACUGGGGUGGAGGAUGCUAUUAGCAUCCGGCGAGUAGAGGCCAGGGAUGCUGCUAAAAAUCUUAUAAUGCACAAAAGAACUCCUCCCCGGCAACGAAGAAUUAUUCGGCCCAAAUAGCAAGAGCGGACAGCUUGAGAAGCCCUGCUUACGGAAGCACGGGUUUUACAACAUGCGGGGGGGCUAUCUGCAGGGUUUUUUUGUGUUCUUGUUUUCCUCCUCAAUUCUAGAUCAGCCAUUACCUAGAAGCAGACAGCUGCUACAUCCAGCGCAGCCAGCCCUGUGUUGAUACGCAGAGGUGUGUUUCCAAUGGGUGCCUGCUUGUGCUUUGCUGUGGCUUAGGAAAACGGAAGCCGUAUGUGCACGGCAGCAAGCUGGGAGAGGGAGAAGCUGAGGCAGAGAAUACAGACCUAUGCUUCCUGGCUUCGCCGGGGCGGAGGGGCCGCCGCUGCAAACAAACACCGCUGAACCUUUUCACCUUUGGUUGCAGGAGGUGUAGAGCGAGGCUGGGAAACGCAGAGACCAAGCCCCCAGCUAAAACCCAGUCAGACGUAUCCCUCCUCCCUCAGGCGUGGAGGCAGACCGCUGGGACACAGGGACGCUGUUACAGAAAUGCAGGCCCGCAAACAAACUGGCAUUUCCAGUCUCCUCAAUCCCCUUCUAUUAUUUUCUACCGAGUUACUGUGCUGGUACUGUUUUAUCUUUUAAAAAAGCUGUCCUGAAACUUCCCUUCUCUUCUUGAUUUCCCAGUGGCUCACCAUGAAAAAUAAAGUGCAGUGACUCAGGCAGCGCGUGAGAAGGCUGGCACCUUGGGACAUUCCCGUCGGGGCGAAGGACUCUGUCCUCUCCAAGGGUCCCCUCCAUCUCCUCCAAAUACAGACAGCGGGCCAAGCCUCAGAGGAGGUGAGCGGGAGUGAAGAAGUUCAUCUCCAAGGAAGGUUGCUCCUGAGGCUCAUUUAUACAAGAAAAUAAAAGUCCACGUGCCUCACUGGAAACCAUGUCACCAUCAGAUACCACUGGGGAAGAAGCAGAGAUGGAUACAAGGGGGCAGGGUGCAGUGUGACUCCCCCCAGCCUGGGAGCCCUGAGGUGAAGGCUACGUGGAGUUGCUGUGCAGAGGAUGGAAUUACAAGCCUGCAUCUGAGACAAAGGUUCUUUAUGCUGCGUCUGCACGUUAAUUAGCUGCUGGAAACUUCGGGACAGGGCCAUUAACAUGCUCAUAAACCUUUGAUUUCAAAUGUUUCUGCUCAGCCGCGAUUCUGAUGUGACUCCCCUUGGAAGCUGGAUGGAGGACGUUUGUUUCUUAACACUUACGAGGCGCAGAACUCCUCCAGCCCCGUGCCUCAUGAACUAGCCCAUUAAGGAUGUCGCCUCCUGCAGGCAGAAGCCUCCACUUGGCCUCCCAGAGCCUUGGAGGGCACCUAAUUGGGACAGCGUGAGGCCCCAAGGGAGCUCGAGGCUGGCGUGCGGCGAGGG